rnacentral:rRNA from 1 species
GAUGAACGCUAGCGGGAGGCUUAACACAUGCAAGUCGAGCGGUAGGGCAGCAAUGCCUGAGGGCGGCGCACGGGUGCGUAACGCGUAUGCAACCUGCCUUAUACAGGGGAAUAGCCCAUGGAAACGUGGAUUAAUGUCCCAUAGGAUUACGGAUUCGCAUGGAUUUGUGAUUAAAACUGAGGUGGUAUAAGAUGGGCAUGCGUCUGAUUAGGUAGUUGGUAGGGUAAUGGCCUACCAAGCCGACGAUCAGUAGGGGUUCUGAGCGGAUUACCCCCCACACUGGCAAUGAGACACGGACCAGACUCCUGCGGGAGGCAGCAGUGAGGAAUAUUGAUCAAUGGCCGGAAGGCUGAACCAGCCAUCCCGCGUGCAGGAUGACGGCCCUAUGGGUUGUAAACUGCUUUUGUACCUGAAGAAACCUGUUUACGAGUAGACAGUUGCCGGUAAGGUAUGAAUAAGCAUCGGCUAACUCCGUGCCAGCAGCCGCGGUAAUAC